GGGAGCAUGGUUUAGAGGUAUAACAUCUCAUUUGCAAGUUGACUUUGGUCAAUGAGAAAUUGAGAAGGUCUGGGGUUCGAUUCCCCAUUCUUCCA